rnacentral:lncRNA from 1 species
CCAGUAUUGGAUCCCCAUUGUAAGUCACACAAAAGAUGAGGCCAAAAUCACAAACAAACAAUCAAAUAUUGGUACUAAAAUUAAAUUAAUUAAUAAUAUUGGAAUGACACAAACUAAAGACAAAAGUCAAUUAAGAAUCAUAUGGGCCCACAACCUUUGAAAUUCUUCCCAACAAAGCACACUUGACAUUUAGUUUCCAUAUUCAACUCUUAAUUAACAAGCCCUAUUUAAUUCCUACAUUUAAGUCCUAAUUAACAAGGCAAAUAUAGAUCUUAUUUCAACUACUUGACAUUUAAGUAAAUUGAAAUUACAUCUUAUCAAUUUGUUAAAUAACCUAUAACCUAGCAAGAAACAAUCAAAUGAGAACACAUAAUCAUUGAAGGCAUCAUUUCAACCUCACAAAAGCCUAAACCAAAAACUAACCUUCAUGAGCACAAAUGAAAUAAUCCAAAAGGAAACAACAGAACAUGAAAAAAUGAUAACCGGCUUCGAACACUAUCGAAGCGAGAUGACAGUAAAGAAGAAUAAACUUAAAUGAAACAAAAUCUGCUUAAAACCUUCACACACUUGGACAGAACAUAAAAGCCAAUUUAGUUUAAAGCAUAGCUGAAAAUAGUUUUAUUUUUAUUAUUUGAACAGCUAUAUGCGACAAGCAUAACCACUUUUAUCUAUGGAUCGAAAUUAUUAAGUCGGUCGAGAAUGGUCAGAUUUGAUAAGCAUCAAUAUUCAUGACCGAAAGAGAUAUAACAUGUACGUCUCUAAGCUAUGAAACAAUCACAAUUAUUUAAAACUUUCAUAACUUAUAUUUCAAACAUACGAACAUCCAUAUUUACAUACAUUAAGCUAAAGAACAUAUCACACGGUGGAAGUAAACAUUCAAAACAUCAUGAUUCUCAUUCAUUUUUAUCGAUGUGGUCAUAUGGAGGUUAACAGAAUACCUUGUUGCAGAAUUUUGAGAACGAAACAGCAAGAAAAUCUUUUGAUAUCAAAACUACUUGGGACCAACAAGCAGAAACAGCAGUGGAAAGCAGCAGUAAAUCAGUAGUAGCAGAACCCAAGAACACCCAAAAAAACCUAGCAAGAAGCAUUGGAAGCUAGUAACUAUGUAAUUUCAGAAGUUAAAAAAAGCUCUUUUGUUUUCUCAAAGAUUAUGAACUUAGAAAAUCACUCACAAAGCUUUCAGUUCUUCAACUUACUUUGAUGUUCACCAGAGUUGUGACUUUCUUAGAGCGUAAAGGAUGAUACCAAAAAUCUGUCCAAACGGACUAACCUUUUCUACCAAAUACCUGCCCAAAAGAGUCACUUUUGUAUGCUAAAAGUCUGCCCAAAAGGGAAAGGACAAUCCAAACCAGCUAAAGUGGCAAAAGCAUGGAGGAAAAUGUACUUUCAUCCACUCUAGUACUAAAAAGUAAGCUACUAGCAUACCCUAUUUCAUGACUACACUAACUAAACU